AGCGAACGCUGGCGGCAGGCCUAACACAUGCAAGUCGAACGGAUCCUUCGGGAUUAGUGGCGGACGGGUGAGUAACACGUGGGAACGUGCCCUUUGGUUCGGAACAACUCAGGGAAACUUGAGCUAAUACCGGAUGUGCCCUUCGGGGGAAAGAUUUAUCGCCAUUGGAGCGGCCCGCGUCUGAUUAGCUAGUUGGUGAGGUAACGGCCCACCAAGGCGACGAUCAGUAGCUGGUCUGAGAGGAUGAUCAGCCACACUGGGACUGAGACACGGCCCAGACUCCUACGGGAGGCAGCAGUGGGGAAUCUUGCGCAAUGGGCGAAAGCCUGACGCAGCCAUGCCGCGUGAAUGAUGAAGGUCUUAGGAUUGUAAAAUUCUUUCAGCGGGGACGAUAAUGACGGUACCCGCAGAAGGAGCUCCGGCUAACUUCGUG
rnacentral:rRNA from 1 species